AUAUUGCCAGGAGGAAGCUGGGAUUACGCAGCUACAAAGUAGCUCGUAUUCACUUCCUCAACGACGCGAUGA
rnacentral:pre_miRNA from 1 species